rnacentral:rRNA from 1 species
GAGUUUGAUCAUGGCUCAGAGUGAACGCUGGCGGCAGGCCUAACACAUGCAAGUCGAACGGCAGCACAGGAGAGCUUGCUCUCUGGGUGGCGAGUGGCGGACGGGUGAGGAAUACAUCGGAAUCUACCUUGUCGUGGGGGAUAACGUAGGGAAACUUACGCUAAUACCGCAUACGACCUACGGGUGAAAGCAGGGGACCUUCGGGCCUUGCGCGAUUGGAUGAGCCGAUGUCGGAUUAGCUAGUUGGCGGGGUAAAGGCCCACCAAGGCGACGAUCCGUAGCUGGUCUGAGAGGAUGAUCAGCCACACUGGAACUGAGACACGGUCCAGACUCCUACGGGAGGCAGCAGUGGGGAAUAUUGGACAAUGGGCGCAAGCCUGAUCCAGCCAUGCCGCGUGGGUGAAGAAGGCCUUCGGGUUGUAAAGCCCUUUUGUUGGGAAAGAAAAGCAGCCGGCCAAUACCCGGUUGUUCUGACGGUACCCAAAGAAUAAGCACCGGCUAACUUCGUGCCAGCAGCCGCGGUAA